rnacentral:rRNA from 1 species
UGAGUAACACGUAUCCAACCUGCCGACUACUCUUGGACAGCCUUCUGAAAGGAAGAUUAAUACAAGAUGGCAUCAUGAGUCCGCAUGUUCACAUGAUUAAAGGUAUUCCGGUAGACGAUGGGGAUGCGUUCCAUUAGAUAGUAGGCGGGGUAACGGCCCACCUAGUCUUCGAUGGAUAGGGGUUCUGAGAGGAAGGUCCCCCACAUUGGAACUGAGACACGGUCCAA